AGCAAUACCCUUUAUUUCAAAAUGAAAAAAAAUAGGUUAAACCCCUUCGAAAGUCUUUAUUUAUGUGGGUUUUUUUCAGUUAGAUUCUCGUCUUAUCGGUUUCGCUAAUUUAGUCCUUUAUGAUGAAAAAUUGACUCAAUUGGGCCCUUGCCGUUAAAUUGGCUUAACGAUAUUAAGUUUUUUAUGACCUGUGAUGUUGACGUGGUAAGUUUUUUAUUCGUGACCUUGACAGAGCUCUAUACGUGGAAUUUGAGAACAUUUAACAUUUUAAAAUUAGGGAUUUCUGAAUGUAAAAUGUAAUUAGGGUUUGUUGGUGGAUUUUAAAUGAACCUUAAUUCCUAAUCAAAUGGGGCAAAGCUAUGUCGUCAGUUAUGUCGCGGCACCGUCACCAUAGUCUUGCCGCCAACCAUCCUCGUCACCACAGCCAACCACCAUCCUCAUCUCGUUAGACCACCCAAAGCCACCACCUAACCCUAAUCUAUGCCACACUAUCAAACUGACACCAUCGUUGUUCAUCUUCAUUGUCAAUGUCGCCGCAGUCGCCGGAGAGACCACCCAGCCUCCGAAAUCGCCGCGACAUACCUCCAUCGCAAUCACCAUCUUCCUUCCGCCUUCUUCAAGAACCUGCAAGGAGAGCCAUAGAGAAAAAUGAAGUCUCACAUCGCACAACCGCGAUUUUCUUAUGCCUUUCUUUCUACUUUUCUUUCUGCUCAAGUUCAAUUGAUUGAGUUCCAGCUUGUGAU
rnacentral:lncRNA from 1 species